rnacentral:rRNA from 1 species
UGGGGAAUUUUGGACAAUGGGCGAAAGCCUGAUCCAGCAAUGCCGCGUGUGUGAAGAAGGCCUUCGGGUUGUAAAGCACUUUUGUCCGGAAAGAAAUCCUUGGCUCUAAUACAGUCGGGGGAUGACGGUACCGGAAGAAUAAGCACCGGCUAACUACGUGCCAGCAGCCGCGGUAAUACGUAGGGUGCAAGCGUUAAUCGGAAUUACUGGGCGUAAAGCGUGCGCAGGCGGUUUGCUAAGACCGAUGUGAAAUCCCCGGGCUCAACCUGGGAACUGCAUUGGUGACUGGCAGGCUAGAGUAUGGCAGAGGGGGGUAGAAUUCCACGUGUAGCAGUGAAAUGCGUAGAGAUGUGGAGGAAUACCGAUGGCGAAGGCAGCCCCCUGGGCAAUACUGACGCUCAUGCACGAAAAGCGUGGGGAGCAAACAGGAUUAGAUACCCUGGUAGUCCACGCCCUAAAACGAUGUCAACUAGUUGUUGGGGAUUCAUUUCCUUAGUAACGUAGCUAACGCGUGAAGUUGACCGCCUGGGGAGUACGGCCGCAAGAUUAAAACUCAAAUGAAUUGACGGGGUCAUAGCUGUUUCCU